UACGUAGGGAGCAAGCGUUGUCCGGAAUCAUUGGGCGUAAAGUGCGCGUAGGUGGCUUCGUAAGUCCGUUGUGAAAGUCAAAGGCUCAACCUUUGAAAGCCGAUGGAUACUGCGGAGCUAGAGUACGGAAGAGGCGAGUGGAAUUCCUGGUGGUAGCGGUGGAAUGACGCAGAUAUCAGGAGGAACACCAAUAGCGAAGGCAGCUCGCUGGGACGUUAACUGACACUGAGGCGCGAAAGCGUGGGGAGCGAACAGGA
rnacentral:rRNA from 1 species